rnacentral:rRNA from 1 species
AGUGAACGCUGGCGGUAGGCCUAACACAUGCAAGUCGAACGGCAGCACAGUAAGAGCUUGCUCUUACGGGUGGCGAGUGGCGGACGGGUGAGGAAUACAUCGGAAUCUACUUUUUCGUGGGGGAUAACGUAGGGAAACUUACGCUAAUACCGCAUACGACCUACGGGUGAAAGCAGGGGAUCUUCGGACCUUGCGCGAUUGAAUGAGCCGAUGUCGGAUUAGCUAGUUGGCGGGGUAAAGGCCCACCAAGGCGACGAUCCGUAGCUGGUCUGAGAGGAUGAUCAGCCACACUGGAACUGAGACACGGUCCAGACUCCUACGGGAGGCAGCAGUGUGGAAUAUUGGACAAUGGGCGCAAGCCUGAUCCAGCCAUGCCGCGUGGGUGAAGAAGGCCUUCGGGUUGUAAAGCCCUUUUGUUGGGAAAGAAAAGCAGCAGGUUAAUACCCCGCUGUUCUGACGGUACCCAAAGAAUAAGCACCGGCUAACUUCGUG